AUCAUCAUCAUCAUCAUCUAGUAUUUAUAUGACUCUUUAAGAUUUGCUUUAUGAAUAUUAUCUCAUUUAAUGUUCACAACAACCCUGUAAGUACAGUGCAAAGUGUAUUUGAACUUGGCCACAUUUUCCUGGAAAUGAAAGUGGAAAAGCAGUUUCACAAGCAUCCUUUUAUUUGAUCCACACCAAUCCUGUGGAGGUAAAUGUGUUCAGAGCUGCUCCCUUCUUCAGCGUCAACAACAACAACAUCACCAUCAUCAUCAUCAUCAUCAUCAUCAUAAUCAUCAUCGGCAACAACAACACUUUUAGGGACAAAGAAGCUGAGGCUAACCAUGCAAAGAAGUUGGUUUAAAAAACUGGAUGAUUACUAUUUGUUUUC